rnacentral:misc_RNA from 1 species
GACGGAGGGCGCGAGCGUUGUUCGGAAUUACUGGGCGUAAAGCGCGGGCAGGCGGUCCUUUAAGUCCUUUGUGAAACUCCGGGGCUCAACCCCGGACAUGCGUAGGAUACUGGAGGACUAGAGACCGGUAGAGGCGAGUGGAAUUCCUGGUGUAGCGGUGGAAUGCGUAGAUAUCAGGAAGAACACCUGUGGCGAAGGCGGCUCGCUGGGCCGGUUCUGACGCUCAGCCGCGAAAGCUAGGGUAGCAAACGGG